GUAGGUGGCAAGCGUUGUCCGGAAUUAUUGGGCGUAAAGCGCGCGCAGGCGGUCCUUUAAGUCUGAUGUGAAAGCCCACGGCUCAACCGUGGAGGGUCAUUGGAAACUGGGGGACUUGAGUACAGAAGAGGAAAGCGGAAUUCCACGUGUAGCGGUGAAAUGCGUAGAGAUGUGGAGGAACACCAGUGGCGAAGGCGGCUUUCUGGUCUGUAACUGACGCUGAGGCGCGAAAGCGUGGGGAGCAAACAGGAUUAGAUACCCUGGUAGUCCACGCCGUAAACGAUGAGUGCUAAGUGUUAGGGGGUUUCCCGCCCCCCUUAGUGCUGCAGCUAACGCAUUAAGCACUCCGCCUGGGGGAGUACGGCCGCAAGGCUG
rnacentral:rRNA from 1 species